rnacentral:rRNA from 1 species
AUUGAACGCUGGCGGCAUGCCUUACACAUGCAAGUCGAACGGUAACAGGCCGCAAGGUGCUGACGAGUGGCGAACGGGUGAGUAAUGCAUCGGAACGUGCCCAGUAGUGGGGGAUAGCCCGGCGAAAGCCGGAUUAAUACCGCAUACGACCUACGGGUGAAAGCGGGGGACCGAAAGGCCUCGCGCUAUUGGAGCGGCCGAUGUCAGAUUAGGUAGUUGGUGGGGUAAAGGCCUACCAAGCCUACGAUCUGUAGCUGGUCUGAGAGGACGACCAGCCACACGGGGACUGAGACACGGCCCAGACUCCUACGGGAGGCAGCAGUGGGGAAUUUUGGACAAUGGGCGCAAGCCUGAUCCAGCCAUGCCGCGUGCGGGAAGAAGGCCUUCGGGUUGUAAACCGCUUUUGUCAGGGAAGAAAUCUUCUGGGUUAAUACCUCGGGAGGAUGACGGUACCUGAAGAAUAAGCACCGGCUAACUACGUGCCAGCAGCCGCCGUAAAAC